AGAUUGAACGCUGGCGGCAGGCCUAACACAUGCAAGUCGAGCGGCAGCACGGGUACUUGUACCUGGUGGCGAGCGGCGGACGGGUGAGUAAUGCCUAGGAAUCUGCCUGGUAGUGGGGGAUAACGCUCGGAAACGGACGCUAAUACCGCAUACGUCCUACGGGAGAAAGCAGGGGACCUUCGGGCCUUGCGCUAUCAGAUGAGCCUAGGUCGGAUUAGCUAGUUGGUGAGGUAAUGGCUCACCAAGGCGACGAUCCGUAACUGGUCUGAGAGGAUGAUCAGUCACACUGGAACUGAGACACGGUCCAGACCUCCGUACGGGAGCAGCAGGUGGGAAUAGUGGACAAGUGGGACGUAAAGCCGUGGUCCAGCCAGUCGCCG
rnacentral:rRNA from 1 species